rnacentral:sRNA from 1 species
CGGAAGACGGGCGGCGCGUGGCGGAAGGCAGGCUUGCUCCUCGGGGUGGGGGAGGGUAUCCGGCUUAAGGGGGCUGCGGUGGACGCCACUUCUUAAUGUCGGGGGUCUUCGCGGCGCUCACCUCGGCUCCUAGGGUUCGGGACGGUACGCACCAGCCACCUUCGCGCCGAAGGCGGUAGGGCGCCACGGAGAGGAACCGCUCUAGGCACGUAAGGCCUCGUGAGGUUGCGUCGCGCGCGGAGCACUCUGGGACUUGUAGUUCUGGAGAUGGAGCGAGCUGUGCCGCUCGCGGUGCCUCUGGGUCAGACAGAGGUGUUCCAGGCCUUGCAGCGGCUCCAUAUGACCAUCUUCUCCCAGAGCGUCUCACCAUGUGGGAAGUUUCUGGCGGCUGGCAACAAUUACGGGCAGAUUGCCAUCUUCAGCUUGUCCGCUGCUUUGAGCUCAGAAGCCAAAGAGGAAAGUAAGAAGCCGGUGGUGACUUUCCAAGGUGGGUAUAGCUGUGGAGUCUGGCUUCGGGACUUUGGGUGGGAUUGACUCACUCAGUUCUGCAUUUCUCUUUAGCCCAUGAUGGGCCCGUCUAUAGCAUGGUUUCCACCGAUCGACAUCUGCUUAGUGCUGGGGAUGGGGAGGUGAAGGCCUGGCUUUGGGCGGAGAUGCUCAAGAAGGUAAGGAGUCGAGCUUGGGAAAGGGCUGGGGUGCCUGGACCCGGAGAGAGCCUUUGAGGUCACCUGGUAUUUUCUCUUUUGAAGGGCUGUAAGGAGCUGUGGCGUCGUCAGCCUCCAUACAGGUGAGCAGGGCCACGUGGAUAGAGGGUGCAUCAGGGUGAAGCCACUUCCUCACUGACCUUGCCUUUCCUUCCCCAGGACCAGCCUGGAAGUGCCUGAGAUCAACGCUUUGCUGCUGGUCCCCAAGGAGAAUUCCCUCAUCCUGGCUGGGGG